UACGAAGGGGGCUAGCGUUGUUCGGAAUUCCUGGGCGUCAAGCGCGCGCAGGCGGCCUUGCAAGUCAGUGGCGAAAUCCCAGAGCUUAACUCCGGAAUUGCCAUUGAAACUGCGAGGCUUCGAGUACGGGAGAGGUGAGUGGAAUUCCCAGUGUAGAGGUGAAAGUCGUAGAUAUUGGGAAGAACACCGGUGGCGAAGGCGGCGCACUGGCCCGUUACUGACGCUCAGGCGCGACAGCGUGGGGAUCAAACAGG
rnacentral:rRNA from 1 species